rnacentral:lncRNA from 1 species
GCUAUUUCUUUGGGCCGCUCCCGCGGCAUAUGGAGGUCCCCAGGCUAGGGGUCGAAUCGGAGCUGUGGCCACCGGCCUACGCCAGAGCCAUAGCAACGCUGGAUCCAAGCCGUGUCUGCAACCUACACCACAGCUCACGGCAACGCCGGAUGGUUAACCCACUGAGCAAGGGCAGGGAUCGAACCCGCAACCUCAUGGUUCCUAGUCGGAUUCAUUAACCACUGCGCCACGACGGGAACUCCUGAUUUAAAGCCAAGCUGCCUGACUCUGGAGACUGUGCUCUUUGUCACUAUGCUAUGCUGCCUCAUUAAAACUAGCAAAUGAGCAAACUAUAAACAGCAAAUACAGAACAUUGUGCAGGAGAAAAACCAAGCAGACAAGCAAACUCAAAACAGGCUUUUCAUUAGCUUUCCGUACUUUAAACCAAAUCUAGCGGAAUUUGACACCUUUGGCAUUUUCUCCUGCUUUCGUCACCCGUCCUCUUUGGAAGGUCCUUCGUGCCUGACCCGCAUCUUAACAACUCUUUUUUAGAUAUUCCCAACGAUCUUGAUCUUUCUCCAGCCCUUCCAAUAAAGCAGCCUGGCCCGUUUGCCUUUUUGUUAUUCUGUCCCUCAGUCUUUCCCUCAGAAAUGCUACCCCUCUCUCUUUUCAUCAUUCAUUCUAGAUCUUCACCUUCAAAAAAUCCUACUCAGGGAAUUCUCUGGUAGCCUAGUGAUUAAGGAUCCAGGGUUACCACUGCGUUGGCUCCAGUUUGAUCCUUGGCCCAGGAACUUCCAUAUGUCUCAGGAGCAGCCAAAAAUGAAAAAAAUCCUACUCAAAUCCUCCCAAAUCCCUCCUUCCUGCCAGGUGGAUAACGUGGAACUCAUUCUGCAGAAGAUCUAGGAGAUCACAGCUCUCCUUUGCAAUGGCCCACAUUACCCUUUCUGUAUUUGUAUUGAUUUGUUUUCUGUAUUUUAUAAUGUGGCCUUUCAUAAUUGUAUACUUCUUAGCAUCAAUCCCUGUUUGGUGUGUAUUUGUUUUGUCUUCCCAGGAAGAGUGUGAGCCAUGCAAGAACGGGCUGUGUUAAUUAUGUAUUCUAUCGUCCCUUGUUCAGUGCAGGAGGUCACAUCACAUCAUCAGCAAGGCCAUGGGCUUUGGAGCUGUCCCACUGGGGCCCAAGGACUGGCUCAGCCACUUACAAACUGUGACCAAUGAAAACUCAUUUUACUUCUCUGAACUUCAUUUCCCUCAUCCGUAAAGUGAGGAGCAUAAUACCUCUGGCAUAGGGUUCAUGGGAAACAUGAUGCAUCUUAAAUGCUUAACCCAGGGCCUAUCAUCUUUUAAGCCUUCAGCAUUUGGUAACUCUUACUACUACAUCCCAGGCACUCUUGAUCAGCUCAGGCAGCUGUGAAACUCUUCAAUCUCUUGGCUCCCAAAGGAUUUCUGAUUUUUUAGGGUUAAAUUCACUCAGGU